AGAGUUUGAUCCUGGCUCAGGAUGAACGCUAGCGGCAGGCUUAACACAUGCAAGUCGAGGGGCAGCGGGGAGGAAGCUUGCUUUCUCCGCCGGCGACCGGCGCACGGGUGAGUAACACGUAUGCAACCUGCCCCUGUCAGGGGGACAACCCGCCGAAAGGCGGGCUAAACCCGCGUACAUGCCACCGGGGCAUCCCGGAGGCAGGAAAGGCUUCGGCCGGACAGGGAUGGGCAUGCGGCGCAUUAGGCAGUAGGCGGGGUAACGGCCCACCUAACCGACGAUGCGUAGGGGUUCUGAGAGGAAGGUCCCCCACACUGGUACUGAGACACGGACCAGACUCCUACGGGGGGCAGCAGCGAGGAAUAUUGGUCAAUGGUCGGGAGACUGAACCAGCCAAGCCGCGUGAGGGAGGAAGGUACAGAGUAUCGUAAACCUCUUUUGUCAGGGAACAAAGGCGGGGACGUGUCCCCGGAUGAGUGUACCUGAAGAAAAAGCAUCGGCUAACUCCGUGCCAGCAGCCGCGGUAAUACGGAGGAUGCGAGCGUUAUCCGGAUUUAUUGAGUUUAAAGGGUGCGCAGGCGGUCUGUUAAGUCAGCGGUCAAAGCCCGGGGCUCAACCCCGGCCCGCCCGUUGAAACUGGCAGUCUCGAGUUGGAGAGAAGUAUGCGGAAUGCGCGGUGUAGCGGUGAAAUGCAUAGAUAUCGCGCAGAACUCCGAUUGCGAAGGCAGCAUGCCGGCUCCACACUGACGCUGAGGCACGAAAGCGUGGGUAUCGAACAGGAUUAGAUACCCUGGUAGUCCACGCAGUAAACGAUGAAUGCUGGCUGUCCGGGGGGAUUGACCCCUGGGUGGCGAAGCGAAAGCGAUAAGCAUUCCACCUGGGGAGUACGCCGGCAACGGUGAAACUCAAAGGAAUUGACGGGGGCCCGCACAAGCGGAGGAACAUGUGGUUUAAUUCGAUGAUACGCGAGGAACCUUACCCGGGCUCAAACGGGGAGUGACUCAGGCAGAGACGCCUGUUUCCCACGGGACACUCCCCGAGGUGCUGCAUGGUUGUCGUCAGCUCGUGCCGUGAGGUGUCGGCUUAAGUGCCAUAACGAGCGCAACCCCCGCGUGCAGUUGCUAACAGAUAACGCUGAGGACUCUGCACGGACUGCCGGCGCAAGCCGCGAGGAAGGCGGGGAUGACGUCAAAUCAGCACGGCCCUUACGUCCGGGGCGACACACGUGUUACAAUGGGUGGUACAGCGGGAAGCCAGGCGGCGACGCCGAGCGGAACCCGAAAUCCACUCUCAGUUCGGAUCGGAGUCUGCAACCCGACUCCGUGAAGCUGGAUUCGCUAGUAAUCGCGCAUCAGCCAUGGCGCGGUGAAUACGAACCCGGGCCUUGCACACACCGCCCGUCA
rnacentral:rRNA from 1 species